GCUGUCUUAGCUCAGUUGGUAGAGCGCGUGGUUUUUAACCACAUGGUUGCGGGUUCGCUUCCCCACAGACGGCG